AGCGAACGCUGGCGGCAGGCCUAACACAUGCAAGUCGAACGAACCUUCCGGGGUUAGUGUCGGACGGGUGUGUAACACGUGGGAACGUGCCUUUAGGUUCGGCCUACCUAAGGGAAACUUGUGCUUAUACCGAAUGUGACCUUCGGGGGGAAGAUUAAUUGGCUUUAGAGCGGCAGGAGUCUGAUUAGCUAGUUGAGUGAGGUAAUGGCACACCAAGGCGACGAUGAGUAGUUGGUAUGAGAGAAUGAUCAGCCACAUUGGGAGUAGGACACAGCCGAGACUCCUACGCGAUGCAGCAGAGGGGGAUCGUGCGCAAUGGGGGAAGUGCUGACGCAGCCAGGCCGGGUAAAUGAUGUAGGUCGUAGGAUAGUAAAAUUCUUGCACCGGUGACGAUAAUGACGGUACCCGGAGAAGAAGCCCCGGCUAACUUCGUG
rnacentral:rRNA from 1 species